rnacentral:ncRNA from 1 species
UGAUGCCCUUAGAUGUUCGGGGCCGCACGCGCGCUACACUGAAGGGGACAGCGAGUUUUCCUGGUUCGAAGAACCGGGUAAAUCUGUUGAAUCUUCCGCCUUCGUGACAGGGAUCGGGCUUGCAAUUAAUUCCCCGUGAACGAGGAAUCCUCCCAGUAAGCGCAAAGUCAUUCAGCUUGCGUUGUUAUUACGCGUCCCUGCCCUUUGUAACACCGCCCCGUCGCUACUACCGAUUGAAUGGUUUAGCAAGGUCGCUCGGAUUGGUGCCGACUUUGGUGGCCAACACUAGGUCGGAUAACACUAGGAUCUGAAAAGAAGAAUCAAGACUUGAUCAUUUAAGGAAGUAAAAGUCAAGUCGAACAAGGUUUCCGUAGGUGAACCUGCGGAAGGAUCAUUA